rnacentral:rRNA from 1 species
UGGGGAAUAUUGCACAAUGGGCGAAAGCCUGAUGCAGCGACGCCGCGUGAGGGAUGAAGGCCUUCGGGUUGUAAACCUCUUUCAGUAGGGAAGAAGCGAAAGUGACGGUACCUGCAGAAGAAGCGCCGGCUAACUACGUGCCAGCAGCCGCGGUAAUACGUAGGGCGCAAGCGUUGUCCGGAAUUAUUGGGCGUAAAGAGCUCGUAGGCGGUUUGUCGCGUCUGCUGUGAAAUCCCGAGGCUCAACUUCGGGCGUGCAGUGGGUACGGGCAGACUAGAGUGUGGUAGGGGUGACUGGAAUUCCUGGUGUAGCGGUGGAAUGCGCAGAUAUCAGGAGGAACACCGAUGGCGAAGGCAGGUCACUGGGCCACUACUGACGCUGAGGAGCGAAAGCAUGGGGAGCGAACA